CUUGGAAGAAACAGAUACCUCCCUCUGUGGGCCAGAUCCCAGGCAAACAGCUAAAUUUUUCCUUCAAACCCCACAGGGAGACCUUCUUAAUAUGGUUUUUCAUGUUUUCAACAACAGAGAUAAAACUUAAAAGGAGGAAAAAUAGCAAUCUGAUCAUUUAGCAGAGGCGCUUGGAGCUCUAAGACAGGAAACUCCAUCACCACCAGAUUCAUCAUUGACUGAUCUCGGACUUGCUGCUGAAGAUUGAUGGGGCUCAGAGCUCACAGCCCCCCAUUAAGGCGUCCUUCUCAGAGGCCCAAGUCCCACUGGAAGUCUCAGGAUGGAUAAAAGCCUUUCCCACAACCAGGGAGACUUAAUAAAGUCUUGUUACAAAAAUCAUCCCAAGGACUACAACUAAAAUGGAGUGGUCCCUACCUGGUCUUCAUCAGAACUUCAACAGUGGUCAAGGUCGCUGGACUGCCAUCCUGAUUACACAUCACUCAAGCUAAGCAGUGCCCUCCCAGCCCUGAAUCUAACCAUCCUGAGUGAUCAUCUCAUCUUCUAUCGCCCACCCAUCUCCGUCUCACGAAGGCCUCACAGCCACAACUCUCAGACUAAGUCAUGUUUUAUUAUCCAAUUUAGUUCCUAAUUCCUUACAUUCUAUUAAUUACCUUUUUUCAGCAGGACUCUCAACAGUUUUUCCUAAAGACUCCCACAUCAUGUGUAAGAUCAUCUUCAUAUUGUUCUAUGUGACAACUGUCUUAGUUCUCUCUACCCUCAGCUGUUUGGUCAAACAUGACAUCCCUGAAGGUCUAGGCUCUUACCUUCCCUAUAGUGACACAGCCAUGGCCAUCCCCACUCUCUCAUUCUUUCCAGCUCAGCUCCUGGACCAGAGACAAGCCCUACCUACCUACACUCUUAACUCUUACCCUUUUAGAUGGAGGAAUAAUUACCCCUCAUAACUUCACUCCUCCUAACCCCACACUUAGUUUUUAGAAUUCUACCUCACCGUGAUAAUGAUUCCACCUCACCGUAGUCCUGAUAAAAUGACAUAUCUAAAUCAAAGGCACCUUUCCUUCUACCUCACCUGGAUCCUUAAAUAUGAUAGUGGCCUGCUUCCUCAUGGCACCUUGUCUCUUUGUUUUCUAGUCUAAGAUGCCAGCAUUCACCAAUGAUAAAGUUGUCCUGGCUGAAACACCUGGCACCAGCUUCUACAUGGGCAUCAACCAUCAUCCCAUCAACUCUUCCUGAAUCCAAAUACGGCGCCCCCUCCUUUCAGCAGGAAGUAGUAAUAGAGAGACUUGGCCCUUUUCCUAACAAUACAAAGAUGGGAAUGAAAGGUUCUUUGUCUCAGUAGAAACAUGGUCUAACAUGGCAGAAGGCCAAGCAGGAACGCCUACCCCUUCCUGCUUCUUCCUCAGCCUUAAUUGCACCUCCCCUUCCUGUUUGUCUGCACAGAAAAUUCCAGUCAGCUCCUCACAUGUCAUCAAUGCUCACCCUAAGAGCCACCCCUGUCAGAGGUUAUAUGCAAUUCCGUGGCCCACGUUCUAGCAGAGAAAGCCAGGCCACUGGUGGUCCUGGUCUCCUCUUCACUUCUUUGGAAUAAAGACUAUUUUUACUUUA